rnacentral:rRNA from 1 species
UACAUGACCUCACGGGGGCAGGAUGACCCGCUAGACUUAAGCAUAUUAAUCAGCGGAGGAAAAGAAACUAACUAGGAUUCCCCCAGUAACUGCGAGUGAAGAGGGAAGAGCUCAAUGUGUGAAUCAGGCCGGGAUUAGCUCCUUGUUCGAGUUGUGCACUAUAGACGGCGGAUCAGCGUUUGGAAGCCUGUGGUGUAUGUCCGAUGAAACUCGGUGCCAUAGAGGGUCACAGUCCUGUACUUGCCUAAGGCUUCUGCGCAUUUGACCGACGCUUUUCGAGGCGCGUAGUUUUGUAUUGCUGCCCUAAUUGGGAGGUAGAGCCCUUCUAAAGCUAAAUAUGAUGGCAUGACCGAUAGCACACCAAGUAUCCGCGAGGGAAAGGUGAAAAGCACACCACGCAGAAUGGGUUGAAACAGCAGUGAAAGCGUUAUCUGGGAUAAGGGUUGGGGAUUGCUUGUGCCGAUUGCGCGUGCUUCANUGCUGCGCUGCCGGACCGCACGCAUCGCAUGCGGAACGGGGAGAACCGGUUCCUUGGGAAUUCGGCCUGGAUCCGUCCCAGUGUUGUA